rnacentral:rRNA from 1 species
AAUGAACGCUGGCGGUAGGCCUAACACAUGCAAGUCGAACGGAUGCACUAUAAGAUUUUGUCUCUAAGGGUAGCGGAGGGCGGGCGAGUAAUACAUAGAUAGCAAUCUUAUAUUUCCGGGUGGAUUACGGAAUAAAAGUGCCGCUAAUACGUCAUACUUCGAACCGUAUAGAUCAAGGGAGCAUGUGACCUUGCGCGAUUGAGUGAGAUGAUGUCGGAUUAGUUAGUCGGUCAGGUAAGGGCUCACCAAGGCGAGGAUACAUAGCUGGGCUGAGAGGAUGAUCAGCCACACUGGAACGGAGACACGGUCCCAACUCCUGCGGGAGGCAGCAGUCGGGAAUCUUCGACAAUGGGCGGAAGCCUGACGGAGCCACGCCGCGUGAGUGAGGAAGGCCUUCGGGUCGUAAAUCACUUUUGUUAGGGAAGAAAAGAAGCGUGUUUAUCUGUGGACGUUUUGACGGUACCUAAAGAAAAAGCCCCGGCUAACUUCGUG